rnacentral:rRNA from 1 species
AUUGAACGCUGGCGGCAGGCCUAACACAUGCAAGUCGAGCGGAGCGGCGGACGGGUGAGUAAUGCCUAGGAAUCUGCCUGGUAGUGGGGGAUAACGUCCGGAAACGGGCGCUAAUACCGCAUACUCUCAGAUGAGCCUAGGUUGGAGUAACCAGUUGGUGGGGGAAAGGCCUACCAAGGCGACGAUCUGUAGCUGGUCUGAGAGGAUGAUCAGUCACACUGGAACUGGGACGCGGUCCAGACUCCUACGGGAGGCAGCGGUGGGGAAUAUUGGACAAUGGGCGGAAGGCUGAACCAGCCAAGCCGCGUGUGUGAAGAAGGUCUUCGGAGUGUAAAGCACGUUAAGUUGGGAGGCGUUACCAACAGAAUAAGCACCGGCUAACUUCGUGCCAGCAGCCGCGGUAAUAC